rnacentral:rRNA from 1 species
AACUUUGAGCGGUGGAUCACUCUGCUCGUGUGUCGAUGAAGAGUGCAGCCGACUGUGUGAAUUAAUGUGAACUGCAUACUACUUUGAACAUCGACAUCUUGAACGCAUAUUGCGGCUACGGGAUAUCCUGUAGCCACGCCUGUCCGAGGGUCA